rnacentral:lncRNA from 1 species
UUUAAAUUUUUUAACGAUUAUAACGAUAAAUGAGAAAAUACUUAAGAAUCAUAAAUGUGAUGUGUAACUAAUUAUAAAGAUCAAAAUGUAAACAAAAAGAUGAAUGAAAGAAAAAUAAUUGGAGAAGGUUAAAAGAGAAAAAAGGAGGAAGAGGUAAACGAAAAUAAAUGAGAGAAAUGAAGAAAAAAAAAAAACGAAAAAAAGAAGAAAAGAAAAGGAAAAGACUGAGAAUGGAAAAGAAGAGUAGAAGAAUAAAGAGAAGAAGAAUAAAAGGAAAAUGAGAACGAAAAGGUGUUAUAUUAUGUUUAUAUUAGGUGAUUAGUUGAUUAUCCGUGCGCAUGCGCGGAAUGAAAUUUAUAUCUAUUAUAUCAUUCAACCAUAAUUAUAUCAUU